UACGGAGGGAGCUAGCGUUAUUCGGAAUUACUGGGCGUAAAGCGCACGUAGGCGGCUUUGUAAGUUAGAGGUGAAAGCCUGGAGCUCAACUCCAGAAUUGCCUUUAAGACUGCAUCGCUUGAAUCCAGGAGAGGUGAGUGGAAUUCCGAGUGUAGAGGUGAAAUUCGUAGAUAUUAGGAAGAACACCAGUGGCGAAGGCGGCUUUCUGGCUCGUAACUGACGCUGAGGCGCGAAAGCGUGGGGAGCAAACAGG
rnacentral:rRNA from 1 species